rnacentral:lncRNA from 1 species
CAGAGUAUGCCUGUUACAGAAGUGAUAUGUGGCUAUGCCGGUCGUAAUGGAUUUGACCUAAAGAGUGAAGACGUACAUGAGUUAAGUGAUGAACUUGAAAACUUCAAGAAAAAUUACG